ACAUAAACCUAGAGGUCACAUUCCC
rnacentral:piRNA from 1 species